UAGGGAAUUUUCGUCAAUGGGCGCAAGCCUGAACGAGCAAUGCCGCGUGAACGAGGAAGGUCUUCGGAUCGUAAAGUUCUGUUGAAAGGGGGAAAAAGAGCGGAGAGAGGAAAUGGUCUCCGAUUGAUAUUACCCUUCGAGGAAGUCACGGCUAACUACGUGCC
rnacentral:rRNA from 1 species